rnacentral:rRNA from 1 species
GGGGAAUCUUGCGCAAUGGGCGAAAGCCUGACGCAGCAACGCCGCGUGAGCGAAGAAGGCCUUCGGGUUGUAAAGCUCUGUCAGGGGGAAAGAAGGCACCUGGGUUAAUAGCCCAAGGGCUGACGGUACCUCCAAAGGAAGCCACGGCUAACUACGUGCCAGCAGCCGCGGUAAUACGUAGGUGGCAAGCGUUGUCCGGAAUCAUUGGGCGUAAAGAGCGCGUAGGUGGCUUGUCAGGUCUGAUGUGAAAACCUGGGGCUCAACUCCAGGCCUGCAUCAGAAACCGGCUUGCUAGAGUCUGGGAGAGGAGAGUGGAAUUCCUGGUGUAGCGGUGAAAUGCGUAGAUAUCAGGAGGAACACCGGUAGCGAAGGCGGCUCUCUGGAACAGUACUGACGCUGAGGCGCGAAAGCUAGGGGAGCGAAC